ACGAGUUUUUGAAACGGGUUGUCGCUGGCUUUUCAAAACGGAAAGCAUGUGCACGCCUGGCUCAUUCCACUCUCAAACCUCUGUGCACUUACUGUAGGCUUGGUUUUUGUUGCAUAGGCUGUAUUGCUUGUGUGUAUCAAAGCCUUGUCUAUGUUUUUACAACAAACAUGUUAGUAAAAGAAUGUAAACCCUUUGCGUCUAACGCAUUUAAAUA
rnacentral:misc_RNA from 1 species